rnacentral:rRNA from 1 species
AUUGAACGCUGGCGGCAUGCCUUCACCUGCAAGUCGAACGGCAGCACGGGUGCUUUCACCUGGUGGCGAGUGGCGAACGGGGGAGUAAUACAUCGGAACAUGUCCUGUAGUGGGGGAUAGCCCGGCGAAAGCCGGAUUAAUACCGCAUACGAUCUACGGAUGAACGCGGGGUACCUUCGGGCCUCGCGCUAUUGGUGUGGCCUGUGGCUGAUUAGCUAGUUGGUGGGGUAAAGGCCUACCAAGGCGACGAUCAGUAGCUGGUCUGAGAGGACGACCAGCCACACUGGAACUGAGACACGGCCCAGACUCCUACGGGAGGCAGCAGUGGGGAAUUUUGGACAAUGGGCGAAAGCCUGAUCCAGCAAUGCCGCGUGUGUGAAGAAGGCCUUCGGGUUGUAAAGCACUUUUGUCCGGAAAGAAAUCCUUGGCCCUAAUACGGUCGGGGGAUGACGGUACCGGAAGAAUAAGCACCGGCUAACUACGUG